rnacentral:lncRNA from 1 species
AUGGGUUUUACUCUUUUGAGUGGAUCAACGAGUGUCCAUGCACCGUUGACCUUUAUGGACUCCAUUUCAGACUUUAUGGCUCUAAGCCACUAAUCAGAGUUGGACCUCUACAUGGUAUCCAUGUAAGUGCUUAGAUAUUUGUUAUUCUCAUCGAGUUUAAUAGAAUCACAUUUCGAACUUAAAAAUUGAAGUAUCUAUCCAUCGGAUGUAGCACUCCACCGGAUCUCCUUUGUGGUGUCUCUACAACGGGUUUUGGAUUUGAUC